GGUUGUGGCCCAGUGGUGGAGCAUCUGCUUGGAAAGCAGAAGAUCCCAGAUUCAGUUCCCGGCAUCACCA
rnacentral:tRNA from 1 species